ensembl:processed_transcript BC006965 uncharacterized LOC110305879
AUUCAAUGUCUGGAGCACGCGUCGGCCACUCCACCUCGGGCGCUCUGAAGCCGGCCGCAUGGAGACUGGGGGACGGUGGUAGGAUGGUCCUAGACCCCCUUCCCUCCAUUUCUGCAACCUUGGUGAAUUGAAAAGGGAUCAAUAUCCUUGGUCAGCGCUACUAUACCAGAUGGCCAAGGGACAGAGGAAAAAUGGCAGGGCAGACCCCCUUGGAUUUGCCCACGUGGAGUUUGGAUAUUUACCUGACUUCUUUGUCAAGUCUUGGGCCUGAUGCAGGUUGCAGAAGUAUGGCAACCGGUUCAUGUAUUAAACAGGCCAGGGGAGCUGUCACCACCGAAGGAAGGAGGGUGGUACUGACAGGACUGAUGGUAAUGAUGACAUCUAACGUACAUGGAGCAGCUCUGUCUGCCAGACACUAAGGAUGUACUUGUUUGAUGAGUGCGGACUCAGUGCUGGGUAAGGCUGGAAACAGAAGGUAUACGUACAAAGAUCUGUUCCACCUUGUGGCAAUACUGCAAGUCCCACCCUCCCAUGGCUCUCCUCUGUACAGACUGUAAAAUACAAGCAGAAAACACUAAUUAACUGAUCAUUAGCAGGAAGGUGAAAGAUCAUACUUAGAUUUACAUGUUGCCUUCUUGUUCGAAGAACUGCGUCAGCAUCCACUAAUUAAUCCAUCAGCAAAGAAUGCUGCCUGCAUCUCUCCAUCAUUAGCCAGUCUUCAAAAGAAGCAAGAAGACCGGGGGAUGGGCGCCAGAUGGCUUCUGAUGCAUCUCUGUCAUUCAGAUCUCCUCCACCAGACCUAUCCAGACCACCUUUGUGGAGGGUGACCAGUUGUCUGUCUUGGGAUGCCCAUGACUCUCUUGGUUCUAGCAUUUGAAAGCCCAAGAGUAUCAGUUACCCCUGAGUCCUGAACAAGCCAGUAGAGUUUAUGAAGUAGUGGCACUUGGAGGGAGACUCCCGAGUUUGAGAAGAUAUGUACCUUCCAAAGCUGACCACUUUCCAAGUUCUUGCUGAACUACUGAAUAGUGCUUUUCUAAAAGUGAAAAAAAAAAAAAGAAAGAAAAGAAAAGAAAAGAAAAGAAAAAUGGCAAAAGCAAAAGUGGUAGGUGUGGGAGACAAAAGGAAGCUCUCAGUCAUGGCUGCUCCUGUAGUGUAGUGAUGUAUGUAUGCACUGUGGCUGGGGCAGGAAGAAUCCCUGUAGUGAAGAGUCCCUGAAGAAUUCCAGAGAUAGCUGCUGUUGGUAGUAUAUUGGGAAGGGAGAGAGUUGAAGGUUUGGGCCUGUCCCUGUCAUUGCUGGGAAGUGGGUUCUUAGUAGUGGCUUCCAAAGGGUGUCUAGUAAAUGUAGACGGGAUGGUGGCAGGUGCCUGCCCACAGCCCAGGAGCCUUGUGAGUCCUAUUGGCUAAAAGUAAUUAAAUAAAUACAAAGCCAUUUCCCCCUUCUUUCUAAGUCACCAUCAGUGAUAUCUUCUAGUUGAAAGAGGAUAAGGACUGUGGAGGAGUGGGGAGGUGUGCUGAGAAGUGGGAGAUGUGUCAGUUGCUGUUCCAUCUCUGACCAAAUGCAUCUCUCUUCCCUAUGUUCUCCUUGGAGAAGGAAGCUGUCUUAGACAGGGUUUCCAUUCUUGUACAAACAUCAUGACCAAGAAGCAAGUUGGGGAGGAAAGGGUUUAUUCAGCUUACACUUCCACAUUGCUGUUCAUCACCAAAGGAAGUCAGGACUGGAACUCAAGUAGGACAAGAAGCAGGAACUGAUGCAGAGACCAUGGAGGGGUGUUACUUACUGGCUUGCUUCUCCUGGCUUUCUCAGUGUGCUUUCUUAUAGAACCCAAGACUACCUUCUCUCCAAACAGGAAAGCAUAGUCCCUACUUUUCAGAGGGGACACAAAAGAGCAUCAUUUGGUUGGUGAACUAAGAUAUGUUACCAGAAACAAAUGACUGUCUAUCAGUGAAUAAAAACAUUACUAG